rnacentral:ncRNA from 1 species
UAAUCUUUUGUAACUCCCCUCCAACCGAGACCUAUAGGGAGUAUAAAGCACGUCUCUCAUACCUUGCCUAAGGGUGGCAAGGAAUAGUAACUCCA